AUUUCAUAUAUAUGUGCUCAACUGUUCAUCGAUAUAAUCGUCGGCGAGAUGAUUGCCAUGUCGUCGACGCCGAUUCUGCUCACCAUACUCUUGGCAUACCUCGCGUUCUCUGCAAACUGUAAUGGCGAACGUGGUAAUGACGAGGACACACCAGCUGCAGGUGGUCACCGGCGGUGGCAGCCAAACGGCGACAAGACGAUUUCCGGAGGCAGCAGCGACGACGAGGCGGCGACGUGCGUGAGCAGUGAAUGCGAGGGCAGCACCUGUUACUGCUGCCCAACGAUGCCCACUAGCCCUUGCUUCUUGGAUCUGGAUGCUUGCUUGAGAGUCUGCCAUGGUCGUCGUCGUCGUCGUCGGCCAGCCGCACCGCUGCCGGAGGUAACGUCGUCGUCUGGGCGCGGGUCCGGACCAAGCAGAUUCCCCUGAUCGAGAGUAGCUAGCUAGCUGGGGCGGCCUCGCCGUCGACGACCCCUAGCUAGCUCCAUCGGCGAUCGAUGUCCUAGCUUGUGACAAUUGACAAGACGAGAGAACAUGGAUGUUUUCGCCACCACCACGGCUCUUCCUCGAACAAGUAUCACUCCAAACUGAAGUUUCUACACGUAUAUAUAGUUCCAAAAACAAAGUAAAUUGCAUACAUAUAAUAUAGGCUUCAUGCUAGUGCGACUAUGGUGCCUACGAAAAAUUAUGCAACAGAUUAAUGUGUUUAUAUAAUGGAUGUACACAUGUACACUGGUAAAAGGAAGAAGAGAUCAUGCUUGUCUCUUACACGUACAUACUAUCGAUUCAAGUUAUUCAUUUGAAUUAGAAACAGUUUUUUUUCAUAGUAAAUGAACUAGAAUCGGAUACAAACUUAAUUGCAAUUUAAACCUGAUAAAAUUAACAUUUUUUCCAGAAGUUCUAGACGGUAACUGUACUGUGACUGUUCUACAGGAUGAAACUCCAGUACCCUCAAUUGCUGCGGCAGUUAAUCGACAUAGUCAGGAGGUUUGUAGUUUACCAGCGGACCCUCAGCCAAGCGACACUAACAACUCGCAGUUGCACAACUUCAUCGCAAAUAUAACCAUGCCACCAGAACCCCCUCUGAUUCAAACCCUUCCACACAACAAUUUACCCAACACAGCAAAUGCAAUUUGGGUUUCGCCCCAACAGCAUAUAAAUAGGCCUGGCCAAGCUUCCACCUCCGGCAAGAGAUAUAGUGUUAGAUUGGCUGCAAAGAAAAAAUUAAUGUUGGGGCGUUCUAGAGAUUCAAUAUCCAAAGCUCAGGAUAUUCUGAUUGCAAGGCUUUUUGCAAGACCUCUUACCAAGAUUCAGAUGGAGGAGAUCAUGGAGCUGGCCAAUCAUGGAAAAGGAAAGAAAAUCAACAACAAGAAAGGGCGCAAGGUGGCUCCCUUCUUAGCACCGGUCGCCCCUUUGGCCUUGGAAGGCUGAGUGCGGUAGUCUUGUCUGUAAUGGUGGAGAUGGUUUUGCUGAUGUUACAGCAGAUGGUUCUUUUGGUGGUCCUUUUGGCGGUGUUGUCGGCAGUAGAGUUGGGUUUAGAGUCUGGCUGCUGGCUCUUGCUUCUAGGGCAUCCAGGGCUGUUAUGUCUUCCUUUGUACUGCGUCUUACUUCAAGUGCACUCCCUUAUGUUGUCGUGGUUGAGGGCUGUGCCGUUGCACCCUGUGUAUGGCCUCUUGGCUGUUAUGAUUUCCUCAAGUAGAGGUGGCCGGUUGUAUUAA